CAUGGCCAUAAGAGAAGUUAAUCGACCCAGCUUGAAGAGAGUGAGCAGGCGCGAAGAUAAAAUAGGGUUUAUGGUGGCCAUUUUUGUCCGUUUCAAGCAAGUGGAGAUGAAGAGAAGAAGAUUGUGGCCAUCGCUACGAAGCAUUGACGGCGGUGAGAGGGAGAGAACGGGAGAGGAUGGAAGACGACACGUAUAUCAAGAGCCGGUGCUUCUUCCUCUUAAUUAAGCUCUGUUGCUUUAAGGUAAUUGUGACUUUUCUUUUUUUUUAAUUACAAAAAAACCUAAGCACCCCACUUAAGCACUUCCGUUCAUGUUGCUCUUAUUUGCAUGGACUGUUUCAACUAACAUUGGAAAAUGUUUUUUUUUCUUCCCUUCUAAUACUGUAUAUAGAUACUGGAUAAACGAUGUAAAACAAAGAUCAAAUUCUUCUCAAAAUCCAACUAAAAUAAUAAUAAAAACAAAUUAUGUAACUAAAUUUAAAUAUAAACCAUGUGCAAAAUUUAAAAUACAAAAUUAUGUUAAUUCGGACGCCAAAAGAAACUUAGACAUUAAUAUGGGUUUAGGCGGCAGAACAACGAGAGUGAAACCUUUCAAUUCUAAAGGUUGAAGAUUUUAUACCCAUAUUACAAAAAUGAUUAGAAAAAGAACCUAACAUCAGAUAAUUGUUUUCCUAAACCAUAAAGGAAGAGCAAUCUUCUAUCUAUCUAUACUAAUAAAAGAGACUUUUCUCUCUUUUACUGCUGCCGCAUCAUCCAUGGCGGGGGGGGGGCAAAAGAUGACACGUGUCUGCCUUUGGUUUCAAUUCUUUCUCCUAUUUUUCGGCUACGAAACUUAAUAAUCGCGGGCUCCAAUAUAUUUACGGUCUAUUGCAUGUUUCGUAUAAUGAGCCAUUCAGACGGUUAGCACUAUUAGCCCACUCUACCCCAUUUGUUUCGUAAGUGGAUAUAAGCCCCUUUUUUGACCUUUCAAUGUUUACAACUGGGCCCAACAGGAGCAACCCCACUCCAGUGACAGUCGUCCUCUCCAAACCCUAACUUCUGAUUUUCCAUCUGAGAGAAGAGCAGAGUAACACAUGCGACUCCCUUUAAGAGGUUGCCAUUAACCUUCACAUUCAUUCUCAUUUACGCGACAACCCACUAAGUCUCAUUAAUUUCCCAUGACCGCCCUCUUCAGCUUCUCCGCAAUCUCUCACCUAUAAAAAGGCAUCUCAACACACAGGCACUAACCUUUACCGGCAAUUGUGACCUCCCAGCUAUCGCUCUCCUAAAAAAAAAAUGGUAAGCUUUCUCACGAUUGGUGGCGGAGGAAACCUAGGACUUUAGGAGGGAUAACAACAGGUGAUGCCUUCACCUAUCUCAAAGCUGUUAUAGGAUAUCUUUCAAGACAAGAAAGACAAUUUAGUUGCCACUAAUGGCGUCAUAGCAAGAGUAAGAGAGUUGUUCAAGGGCUAUGACGACUUGCUUUCGGGGUUUAAUACUUUCUUGCCCAAGGGAUACAAAAUAACCCUUUCGUAGAAGAAGGCAGUGGAUCUCGGAGAAGCUACCGAUCAGGAUGCGCUUUGGGAGCGAUAACCGUGCAUAUAAGAAGUUUCUAGACAUCUUUAACAUGUAUAGAGGGGAAAUCAGUCUAUCUCUGAUGUAUAACAAGAUGGUGUGUUUACAGUUGAUCAGGUUCUUCUUAUUACUCUCUCUCCGGAAGGAAUAACUACCAGGUGAUAAGAGUUCUCCAGAUCCUGCCAUGCAUCCAAGGAAUUUUGAGAAGUUCUACUCCUAGAUUAUUCUUUCUAAAACAUGCUCAUAUCUUUGUUAAUAAGAUGACGAAAUAUAGUGUGAAAACUGAUUUCUCAAUAUAAUAAGUUGCCAUAAAGAAACUUUAUAUA